UACGUUCCCGGGGCUUGUACACACCGCCCGUCACACCACGAAAGUCGGCAACACCCGAAGCCGGUGGCCUAACCGCAAGGAAGGAGCCGUCGAAGGUGGGGUCGGUGAUUGGGGUG
rnacentral:rRNA from 1 species